GCGCCCGUAGCUCAGUGGACAGAGCGGCGGACUUCUAAUCCGCGGGUCGCAGGUUCGAAUCCUGCCGGGCGCA
rnacentral:tRNA from 2 species